rnacentral:rRNA from 1 species
AGUGAACGCUGGCGGUAGGCCUAACACAUGCAAGUCGAACGGCAGCACAGUAAGAGCUUGCUCUUACGGGUGGCGAGUGGCGGACGGGUGCGGAAUACAUCGGAAUCUACUUUUUCGUGGGGGAUAACGUAGGGAAACUUACGCUAAUACCGCAUACGACCUACGGGUGAAAGCAGGGGAUCUUCGGACCUUGCGCGAUUGAAUGAGCCGAUGUCGGAUUAGCUAGUUGGCGGGGUAAAGGCCCACCAAGGCGACGAUCCGUAGCUGGUCUGAGAGGAUGAUCAGCCACACUGGAACUGAGACACGGUCCAGACUCCUACGGGAGGCAGCAGUGGGGAAUAUUGGACAAUGGGCGCAAGCCUGAUCCAGCCAUACCGCGUGUGUGAAGAAGGCCUUCGGGUUGUAAAGCCCUUUUGUUGGGAAAGAAAAGCAGCAGGUUAAUACCCCGCUGUUCUGACGGUACCCAAAGAAUAAGCACCGGCUAACUUCGUG